rnacentral:rRNA from 1 species
UACAGAGGUGGCAAGCGUUGUUCGGAAUUACUGGGCGUAAAGGGCGCGUAGGCGGUCUUGCAAGUCCUGUGUGAAAUCCCUCGGCUCAACUGAGGAACUGCACAGGAAACUGCUUGGCUUGAGUUCGGGAGAGGGAAGCGGAAUUCCGGGUGUAGCGGUGAAAUGUGUAGAGAUCGGGAGGAACACCGGUGGCGAAGGCGGGUCUCUGGGCAUCUCCUGACGCUGAGGCGCGAAAGCUAGGGGAUCAAACAGG